GUCAGAUAAUAAUGAUUUCCAGAGUUAUCUGUUAUGGUCUUCAGUGUGCAGUACUCUGUGUGAGUGUGUCAACAAUCCUCAAAAUGAUGAGAAUCAACUUCUUUGUUGUUCACUUUUUUCAUAUGUAAAUGAAUGGCUAAUGAAUUGCAUGAAACCUGAGAUAAUUCGACCUAUAUGUUCAUUUAUUGGACUAACUCUUACAAAUAAUAUUACAGGGCAGGCUGGAUGAAGACACUCAGCCCACAAUGUGGACAUCUCAAGUCAGUCACUGGACAAUGGCUGACAGACUUGUCUGAAGACGGGAAAUGUUUCUCUCUCUUGGAGGGGAAAGAAGGACCCUACAACUACACUGAACUCUAAGGACAGUCUAUUUAGCUGCUGAGCAUUGAAAAGCCCUAAUGAGGCAGCAUCCAUUUGCAGACAUACUGGAUUAUUCUUCUGCACUUUAUCUGUCUGAGUCACCUCCACUCUCAUUACAGGGCAGGCUGGAUGAAGACACUCAGCCCACAGUGUGGACAUCUCAAGUCAGUCACUGGACAAUGGCUGACAGACUUGUCUGAAGACGGGAAAUGUUUCUCUCUCUUGGAGGGGAAAGAAGGACCCUACAACUACACUGAACUCUAAGGACAGUCUAUUUAGCUGCUGAGCAUUGAAAAGCCCUAAUGAGGCAGCAUCCAUUUGCAGACAUACUGGAUUAUUCUUCUGCACUUUAUCUGUCUGAGUCACCUCCACUCUCAGUAAGUCAGUUUAAUUCCAUAAAUUGGAAAUGAGUCACACGAAAAAAUACUUUCUCAAUACAAUCACAGAUUUCCC
rnacentral:lncRNA from 1 species